ACUUUUUCUCCCCAAAAAGCAUAACCGAGUUUAAAACCCAGGAUGAUCAAAUAUAGACUGCAUUUACGAUGAUGUCUCCAAGAAUUUAUGCUUUUUUUUUUUUUUUUUUGUUAGGUAGAUUGAUUUCCUAGCACAGGGUUUUUUACUGCGUCUGUCUCGACCGUGUUCUCGUGCAGUUGCGAUGGCGUUUAAUCGAAGGAGGAGGCAAAAAAAAAGAGAAGAAAAAGCUGAAAAUGUCAACUCGUCUCAGACGUGAGUGAUAACGGUGACAUUUUACAGGAAGCAGAAGUGCUUCUUUUCUUACUCACCGUUCUCCCAACAACGUUCGGCGUCACGUUAAUGAAAAAUCGAAUGUAGAAUGCGCGAGAGCAGAACGCAGACGCCGGAACACGAUGAGGCUCGGUUAGUUGGCGAUCUACGAGAUGACGAGCUCUACGGUGUUAUUGUUAUGGCGGUAUUAGCAUGAGAUUGCGGUACUAAAGUGCUGCUGCAGCGCUCUUUUUUUUAGGUAAAGAUGAAGCAAGGGAUGAACCCCACUGCCACCGCUGCCCGUUUGACCGGAAAACUCGCAACCGCAUUGAGAAAACGAAACGGAAACGCCGUCGAACAUCACGUGUUGGCUCUGAAGAGUUAUAGUCGUGCAGCGUUUACGUUCUAAUCUUCGGUAGCAUCUCGUUCGAGGCGGCCAAGCUGAAACUAAACUCCGCAAGGUCGUAAAUGUCCAGGAACCGGCUCGAGAGUGACACCGGGAUGUCUUUAGGGCCUCCGACUAUAAACCUGCGAAUAACAACCCUGUGUAAAAUCACUCCAGAUCUCCUCAGUGGGAAAAAAAACAACAACCGGCACAGUGGCUCUCGGCGCUCAUCCGGAAGAGCACGACUGUAAAUUUCGCAUUUUCUCUGGUGGAACAUAACAGGCUCUGCUCAUAAUCGGCUUCAUAAUUAAGUUUUAACUGGAAUCAAGUGUGUUAGAGUGGGAAAGAUGCUAUCAUGCAGAGUAUAGAGGGACUCCAGGACCACUUGCUGAUCUAGGAAUUACCGAAGUUCCACACUCUAGAAAUUUAUAUCGUACACUGCUGUAUUCGUCUAAUCUGUGACUUUAAUGAGGUUCACGAUGGUAAAGGUGCGAAACGCUACAGAGAGGUUUGCAUGCGUGGGAAUUUCCUACCUUUGAUAAGAAUUGAUAAAGCCCCUCUGAUGCUACAGGUUAACACACCAAUUACUGAUGAAACCCAAACUGGUCGGCGCUCUAAAGGACGCCACAUUGACACUACUGAUCAAGUGAGAUCUGGAGUCACGCUCCUGCUCUGGAUGGCAGCGUAUGUUGCUCCAAAAUGUCUACAUAUCUUUCUGCAUGAAUGCUGCCCUCACAGAUGUGCAGGUUACCCCUGCCAUGGGCAAUGACACGCCCCCAUUCCAUGUGCGCUGACUCAACCUCCAUACCAUGACAGACGCCGGCUUCUGGCAUCUUCUACCUGACAUGUUGACUCGUCGGACCACAAAACACGACUCCACUGUGCUACUGUCCAUCCCAGAUGAGACCGAGACCAGAGGAGUGGGCGGAGCUUCUGGACAUUGUUGAUGUUUUGAUGGCUCCUGCUUUGCGUAGUAAAGCCUUAACUUGCAUCUGUGGAUGCAGCGGCGAACGGUGUCGACUGACAAAGGUUUAGCAAAGUAUUCCCGAGCCCAUGUCAGGAUGUCCAUUACAGACUCUAGGCCUUUUUUGGAGGCUCCUUAUAUACUAUGAUUACACGAUCACCUGUUUCACAUCACCUUCUUAUUUCAACUUCUCGCAUGGCUUUUAGUCCUAAACCGCCCCUGUCCCAGCUUUUUGGUGCGUGUUGCAUGCAAAACUAUGUAUUUGAUAACGUAAAACAUUACAUACCUUGUCUUUAUACGUUUUUUUUGUUUAAAUACAAGUCAACGUACAUUUAAAAAAAUCACUCCUCUUUGUUUUUAUUAGUAUUUCCAUCCUGCCCUUGUUGUAGUUUAUGCCUCUGAGGUUGCCAGAUAUUUUUUUUUUAGUAGAAGCAUUCGGAUAAAGUGUUUGUAGGUAGUGUCUAGACAACCACCUUUUUAAAUACAAAAGAAUAUAUAGAAAAUGUAGAAAAUACAAAAAUAUCUUUCUUUUUUUUUUUUCUUGCUUUAGACAUUUAAAGAAUGAAAAAUAAAUUAUGAUUAUGGAACAUAUGAAAAUGGAACAAUGGGGUCUUUUGUUCCACGUUGUAAUUCGCCGGUUCUCGGUCUUCUGUUCCCUCGUUUGUGUAUUCCGGAUUAACCCGAUAUUGUUGUUCGUAGAUCACCUGACCUCUACCUGUUUCCUGUUCCUGAUCUCGAUUCACGUUUUGGAUUUGUCUGCCUGCUGUUCUAUUAAAUGUCUAACUGCACUCGCAUCCAUCGCAGUUAUCACUGAAUGACACACGGUGAGAAGUUGGACGAUGUCAUGCCUUUAGAAGUGAGAAAAGAAAACAAGCUAGAAAACAAAGUUAAGAAAAUCACAAAUGCUAAAAAUAAAAAAAUUAAAAAAAAACCUGCUAAAUCAGUUGACCUUGAUAGAAUAUUUACAAACUGAUUGCUAAAAAUCUUCAUGUAUUUAUGGAAAUUAGGCUUCAUCUAAUUAAAUAUGCACACAUGUUGAAUAAAACAAAAAAAAACCUGGCUUUGGAUCUUGAUAGAAUUCAUAUUUCUAAAAAAAAAAAAAAAAAAAAAAAAGACAUUUAUUUCAAUUUUAACCUGCUGCGAUUGGCGCUGUAGCCUACGAGUUGAAAUAAUGCCGAGAAUUUGCGUUAUUUACUUUACAAAUGAUUUGUUGUAAAGACUCGCCUUAAGAUUUCUCACCGUUCGAUUGUCAGGACUUCAAGUGAGUUGUACUAUACAGUAAAUGUCCUGGAUUUCUUCAUUUUGUUUGUGUAUCAUUCACCACAAUGCUGAUAAAUGAACUGCUGUAAUAAGAGAACACAUUUGCAUACUGGAACAUGAUUGGCUCUUAUAGUUUAUGACGCAAUAACCCUGGGUUGUUACAUGUUCUUUACUAAAUCAAAUUCCAGAUGUUUUUUUUUUUUUUUUUUUUUUUUUUUUAAAAAAAGAACAGAUUUUUCAAAAGGAUAUAGUCUUAAAAUCCAGCGUAGUGUACGUUUUAAUAGGGAAUGGAGCGAUAAUAGUUCUAGUUGUGAGAUUGUUCCUGCUCUCACGCUGCAUGAAAUUCAAAUCUCGAUGCAUUUACGAUGCGUCAACGUGGAUUCACGGCAGUCUAGUGGAAAUUAAAGGAUAACAACACUGGAAACGGAGCAUUUUAGAGUCAAAAGCAUUCAAACAUUGCAUUAACGCUAACAGAGGAUGAAAAAAAAACGUCAUUCUAAAAACCAACCCAGCACCCGAUCACCAUCUCUGGCCUGUGUUGUGUUUUUUUCUCUCUUGCGUAUCCCUGCUGUCUCGAGUGUAACAGCGCUCGUGGAGAAAACAAACCCAAGACAUCACAGGCACAACAGGAAGUCUGAUUCAGACAUUUGCAUAAUUCAAUUCAAAGUCAUCUCAAUGUGAUUAGCUGAACUCUGGAGGCUGAGAGAAACACCGAGCACAUCGAAUCAGCUGAGCAGGAAUUAUUCAUAUUGUAUUUUUUUUUUUUUUAUUGCUUUCAAAAAGAAACACACACACAGAUAAUGCUGGGAUAUCUUUCAGAAAAAUAUCAACAGCAAUAUUCGGGAUUGUAGUUCUCUGUAGUACUCUGAUCUUGGUCUUGGUAAUAGAUUGUCAAUACAAAGACGUUUCUACCUUUAGACAGAUGGAUAGAUAGAUAGAUAGAUACAGUGGCGGAAAUAAGCAUUGGACGCGUCAACAUUUAUUUCAGUCAAUAUAUUUCCAAUGACGUCGUUCACAUGAAAUUUUCACCAGACGUCAGAAUCAACUCAAGAACUCCGGAAAUAUAAAGAAUUCACGACAUUAAAGUCCAUAAAUAAAGUUGUGUGUAAUAAAGUGGAAUGACACGGGAAAAACGUAUUGAACACGCCUACAUUGGGCCUUUAGAACACAUUCAUAAGCACUGAAGAACCUUUCUAUUCAGCUGUCGAAGUCCUAUAGCUUGUGAUGGUGUUAUGAACGCCCAAUGUCAGGAUCUGAGAAUUUUUUUUCCCCCCCUGUGUCAGACUCUUUUGGUUGGGUAUGGUUCUCGUCUCAGCCCAGACGGAGACGUCAUUGAAUGUUUUUAAACAACGAGAGCAACAUCAAUGCUAGACUCCCAGAAAAAGAAAGAAAAAAAAAAAAGGUUAUUAGAUGAAUAUUUACAGCGUUUCAAAUUUUGGUCACAGAUAUCAAAGAAGCAACUGUUCCGUUUUUUUCGAAGAGAAAGAAACCAUCGGCCUACGCUUUAGUUUAGGAUAAUGUAUUUAUACAGACUGAGAGGAUGUGUUCGGGUGUGAUUUUUAUUUCGAGUUAAGUUCUGUUCAUAUUUAGCUCUGCUGAUUCAUCUGCGGGGAGACGUUAGUGAUGCGCGCCGAGAUCUGAGGUCGUAUACUGCGUUCGAGGUGAAGUCGUGACCUGUACUUCGCCGUCUACAGCUGCUAAGAAUGCCCCCUCGACGAAGAGUUCCUUCCCUGUUCACCGAGUGACGUCAAACCAACACGGCUGCUCAUUUACACUGUGACCGGUGUAAAGUGCCCUUCUCUACUUUUAAUGAGUUUCUAACAGUAUUGGCUUUAGAUCGGUUUAUACAGUGGAUCUGAAAAGUCCACACACCCCUGUUAAAAUGGCAGGUUUUUUGUGAUGUAAAAAAAUGAAACCACGAUAAAUCACGUCAGAACCUUUUUUUAACAUUGUUGUAAAAUUCUACCUUCGACUUGUUUUGCUGAAGCCGUUCCUUUGUUGAUCUGGAGGAUUGCUGUGUGUCAUUGUCAUGCUGAAAGGUUCGAUUCCUCUUCAUCUUAAGUGUUUUAACAGAAACAAUUAUCAAACACAACACAGGUUUAUCCCAAAAAGGUGUGCAGCAAUUAUUGGCUCCCCUAUGAAUUCAUAUGAGUAUAUUCCCAUUGAUAUUCCCAACUGAGGUUGUAAUCCCUGCAGAACUCCAGCCAGUGAUCAACGUGGUGACGUUAUCUCCUGAGUCCCAGUGUGAGACCAAUGAAUGGUCUAUCCAGCCAUGAUCCUGAUAGAGGUCACAGAGGCGACCUCUCGGGUUCAGUUCUAGUUAGAGAUUGACGGCACAGCCUACCAAGUCCUGUUCUUGCCGGAGGCUGACAAGAUGGCCCACCAAGCCAUGUUCCAGUCAGAGGCCGAGGAGAUGGCCCACCAAGCCAUGUUCCAGUCAGAGGCCGACAAGAGGGUCCAUCAAGCCAUGUUCCAGUCAAAGGCCGAGGAGAUGGCCCACCAAGCCAUGUUCCAGUCAGAGGCCGAGGAGAUGGCCCACCAAGCCAUGUUCCAGUCAGAGGCCGACAAGAGGGUCCAUCAAGCCAUGUUCCAGUCAGAGGCCGACAAGAGGGUCCAUCAAGCCAUGUUCCAGUCAGAGGCCGACAAGAGGGUCCAUCAAGCCAUGUUCCAGUCAGAGGCCGACAAGAUGGCCCACCACACUCUGCUCAUGUCUGAGGCUGACGACACGGCCCAUCAAGCUCUGCUCAUGCCUGAGGCUAACGAGAUGGCUGACCAAGCUUUGCUCACGCCUGAGGCUGACAACACAGCAUCUCAAGCCAGUUUCCAGCCUAAGAAGCAUGGCGAUCAUGUCCCAGCCCAGCCUUCUGAUCCUGGCGAGCCUGUUGCUGACACACCACCUGCUUUUUACAUGUAUGCCCAAUUACUAAAACAAUGCCUGCCUCAGGACUAUAAGUUUAGUGUGGACAUUUUGCCCAGAGGGCAGGACCGCUGAGGGAGAGGUUUUUGGGUGCUUGCGGGGGGGCACUCUGUCACGGAUUUCCCCUCCUCGAUAUAUUGUAAUUUCACAAUAAAGUUGAAAAAAGGUUCUGACAUGAUUUAACUUGCAUCACAAAAACCUGCCAUUUUAACAGGGGUGUGUAAACUUUUUAUAUUCACCCAGUACUUGGUUAAAUCGAUAGCAUUGAACAUACAACUAACACACACACACUUUAACUUACUACUUGCUAUUAUCUGCUGGCUGUUUUGUUGCUAACACUACUCGUUAUUGUCCACUGGCUAGCUUGUCGCUAGCACUACUCGAUAUUGUCCACUGGCUAGCUUGUCGCUAGCACUGCUCGAUAUUGUCCACUGCCUAGCUUGUCGCUAGCACUACUCGAUAUUGUCCACUGGCUAGCUUGUCGCUAACACUACUCGAUAUUGGCCACUGGCUAGCUUGUCGCUAACACUACUCGAUAUUGGCCACUGGCUAGCUUGUCGCUAGCACUACUCGAUAUUGGCCACUGGCUAGCUUGUCGCUAACACUACUCAAUAUUGGCCACUGGCUAGCUUGUCGCUAACACUACUCGCUAUUGGCCACUGGCUAGCUUGUCGCUAACACUACUCGCUAUUGGCCACUGGCUAGCUUGUCGCUAACACUACUCGAUAUUGUCCACUGGCUAGCUUGUCGCUAACACUACUCGAUAUUGUCCACUGGCUAGCUUGUCGCUAACACUACUCGCUAUUGUCCACUGGCUAGCUUGUCGCUAACACUACUCGUUAUUGUCCACUGGCUAGCUUGUCGCUAACACUACUCGCUAUUGUCCACUGGCUAGCUUGUCGCUAACACUACUCGCUAUUGUCCACUGGCUAGCUUGUCGCUAACACUACUCGCUAUUGUCCACUGGCUAGCUUGUCGCUAACACUACUCGCUAUUGUCCACUGGCUAGCUUGUCGCUAACACUACUCGCUAUUGUCCACUGGCUAGCUUGUCGCUAACACUACUCGCUAUUGUCCACUGGCUAGCUUGUCGCUAGCACUACUCGAUAUUGUCCACUGGCUAGCUUGUCGCUAGCGCUACUCGAUAUUGUCCACUGGCUAGCUUGUCGCUAGCGCUACUCGAUAUUGUCCACUGCCUAGCUUGUCGUUAGCGCUACUCGAUAUUGUCCACUGGCUAGCUUGUCGCUAGCGCUACUCGAUAUUGUCCAUUCGCUAGCUUGUCGCUAGCACUACUCGAUAUUGUCCACUGGCUAGCUUGUCGCUAACACUACUCGCUAUUGUCCACUGGCUAGCUUGUCGCUAACACUACUUGCUAUUGUCCACUGGCUAGCUUGUCGCUAGCACUACUCGAUAUUGUCCAUUCGCUAGCUUGUCGUUAGCACUACUCGAUAUUGUCCACUGGCUAGCUUGUCGCUAGCACUACUCGAUAUUGUCCAUUCGCUAGCUUGUCGCUAGCACUACUCGAUAUUGUCCACUGGCUAGCUUGUCGCUAGCACUACUCGAUAUUGUCCACUGGCUAGCUUGUCGCUAACACUACUCGAUAUUGUCCACUGGCUAGCAUUAUAUAGCUUUGAACCACUGUCUAGAUGACGCUAUUCCACGUGCAUUUCUUACAACAUUACAACAUCUGAGCAAUUUGUCUUUCUAUCAUUUAACAUUUGAACACUUUUCUCUGUAGAACUCCUGUCAUGCUUUAGACUUUCCGUAACUAAGUUCCCUUAACUAGCCUUAUUUUCUGGCGAAAAAGAUCAAAUGGAAUUUGGAAAUGAAAAAAAAAGAAUCGAAAAGUCAUUCAUUGGAAACUUAAAGAUUCCUAGCUUCCCAAAGGGUUCUACUUGGAACCCUCUCUGAUAUACAAACACUACGUUCUACCCAAACCGAACAACCUUUCAGGGUUCUAGAGUGAACCUCUGUUUCUAAUACUGUACGACCUGAAGUAUGCAGUGACCUGGCUCGAUGAGGUGUCGUACGUAGGACCGGUCUGAUCCCGUUACUGUGGCUUCACUGAUGUCACUUUCAUCACGCGUUCAUCCGUGUCUUAUGCUUCGUCCUCCCUCCUCUUCGUCAUUGUUGAAUUCUACCCCUCUGUGACAGAGAGAGAGAGAGAUACAGGGAAAGAGAGACAUAGAGGGGAGAGAGAGAGAGAGAGAGAGAGAGAGAGAGAGAGGAGAGAAAAAUACAUAGAAGGAGAGAUAGAGAGAGAAAAUAGAGGAAAGGACAGUUGAAGAGAAAUAUUAGAUAGAUAGAUAGAGAGAGAAAGAGGGUGAGAGAGAUGCAGAGAGACAUAAAUAGACAGAAAGACUUCGAUGAGAGACAUAGAAGGAGAGUGAGAGAAUAGAUGACGAGAGAGAGAGAGCUCUGAUUGGUUACUUUUCCCUGUGGGUGUCAGAUUCUGCCCUCUUCACAUGUUCACACAUCCUUGCCCACACACACACACACACACACACACACACACACACACACACACACACACACACACACACUGGAUUGACUAGCGCUGUUUCUUAAAUAAGUAAGUGAUGAGAUUGUCUUCUGAAACAGUGUGUGUGUGUGUGUUUGUGUGUGUGUGUGUGUGUGUGUUUGAUUCAGUAAUGAACUCUACUGCCAUAUCACACUGACAAGGUCAUGGCUGGGUGUUAUUUUCGGCCAUGCGGUAUUGCUAUGAUACAGAUUACUGCUCACGUCAUCUAUUUCACUCCUCAUCUCUGCAUUUCAUUUAUCUGUCCAUCUUUCAUGUCGUCUUUUUCCCUCUGUCCCUUUUCCCUCAUCUAUCAUUUCCUUUACCUGUCUGGAGAAGGGAAGCAGAAUACUUAUCUCCUUUCUUGUCAAGUUUUCUCCAGCAUCCUCCACGCUCUCUCUCUCUCUCUCUCUCUCUCUCUCGCUAUCUCUCUCUUUUUUUCCCUUGCUCUCUGUCUCGCGUUCUCUCUCUCUAUCUCUCUGUUUCUUUCUCUCUCUGUCUCUCGCGUUCUCUCUCUCUCUCUCUCUCUCUCUCUCUCUCUCUCUCUCUCUCUCUCACCCCGCUCCCCCCAUGGCCACAUUUUGUACUGGAACUGAAAUGGACUUAAGUGGGAUUUUUUCCAUUAGAUUUACCCAGUGUGUUUUACAUUUGAA
ensembl:lncRNA